rnacentral:rRNA from 1 species
AUGAAUAUCCUCAGUUGGAACUGCCGGGGGGGUGGGAACCCUCGGACAGUUCGUGAUCUUGUGAGUCUUGUACAGGCUCAUUCCCCUAGCAUUGUUUUUCUUUGUGAAACUAGACAGUCGAAAAAUAAAAUGAAGAGGUACCGCUCUCGGUUAGGCUUAAGUGGUUUUGAUGCGUCAGAUAGUGAUGGUCUUAGUGGUGGUUUGGCUUUGUAUUGGCAUGAGUCU